rnacentral:lncRNA from 1 species
UGGGAAAAAUUUAGUGCAGGAGUAAAAUGAUAAUUUUAAAACUUUUUAAAAUCACUAUUUUAUAGUAAAAAUUAUUAAUUAAUCUAAUUAAUUAAUAAGAAUUUACCCUACACUAGGAUCUAAAUAUGAUAUAUAGCAUGCAUGCAUUUAAAUUUGAAAUUCGAAUUUGAACAGUAAACACUUUACUGUAAUAUGUUCAGAACACAAUACCUUUGUGCGGAUAGUAG